UACAGAGGGGGGCAAGCGUUGUUCGGAAUUACUGGGCGUAAAGGGCGCGUAGCGGCCGCCUAAGUCAGACGUGAAAUCCCUCGGCUCAACCGGGGAACUGCGUCUGAUACUGGGUGGCUUGAAUCCGGGAGAGGGAUGCGGAAUUCCAGGUGUAGCGGUGAAAUGCGUAGAUAUCUGGAGGAACACCGGUGGCGAAGGCGGCGAUCC
rnacentral:rRNA from 1 species